rnacentral:rRNA from 1 species
GACGGAGGAUGCAAGCGUUAUCCGGAAUGAUUGGGCGUAAAGCGUCCGCAGGUGGCAGUUCAAGUCUGCUGUCAAAGACCGGGGCUUAACUUCGGAAAGGCAGUGGAAACAGAACAGCUAGAGUAUGGUAGGGGCAGAGGGAAUUCCUGGUGUAGCGGUGAAAUGCGUAGAGAUCAGGAAGAACAUCGGUGGCGAAGGCGCUCUGCUGGACCAUAACUGACACUCAGGGACGAAAGCUAGGGGAGCGAAUGGG